rnacentral:lncRNA from 1 species
AAUUCUUUCCUUCAGUCAGCAUUAGGGUUUUAAACCCUAAACUGAACUUUUCCCUUUAGUUGCAUUAGGGUUUUAAACCCUAAACUGAACUUUUUCCUUUAGUUAGCAUUAGGGUUUUAAACCCUAAACUGAACUUUUCCCUUUAGUUUAGUCAGAAUUAGGGUUUCAAACCCUAAACUGAACUUUUUCCAUUUAGUCAGCAUUAGGGUUUUAAACCCUAAACUGAACUCUUUCCUUUAGUCAGCAUUAGGGCCCCAACCCUAAACUGAACUUUUCCCCAGUU